CAGUAAGAAAAAUGAAUACAAAUUUAAUUGCUCAAGACUCUUUGGACCCUGGAGUGGUUGGUUGCAAUUACCAUGCCUCAAAUACAUCGAAAAUCUAACCUUACUGAUUAGCACAUACAAGUUUGAGAUGUCUGGAUCUUUGUAUACUCUGACUAACAUCGAAAGCAAAUGCAAUGGUUGAAACAUGAAACUAGACUCUUAGACUUGACCAUUAGGAUCUUCUUUUCUGUUUUCAUUUCCUUAAAAAAGCUAAAGCCAGUUAGCAAUGUAGACUCUGAUGGACCAAAGUGAGCUAUUAUGUUUUACACACGGAUUCUGGAAAAGCAUAAAAUUGGGAAACAAUGAGAGAAUUAGGAUGUGGAAGCAGGCACUAUGGAUGGUAUUACAAUGGAAGGAAAGAAAAGAACCUGAAGCUAUUCAUUUGCAGAAUCCAUGAUGAGUUUAGUUUGUCAAAUCAGGGAAACUGUGUUGACUCAAUAAGCAGCGUAUCUGAGCACAGACCUGUAUGGCAUCUUGAGUCUGUUUCAAA
rnacentral:lncRNA from 1 species